rnacentral:rRNA from 1 species
UACGUAGGCAGCGAGCGUUGUUCGGAAUUACUGGGCGUAAAGAGUGUGUAGGCGGCGCUCUAAGUUCGGUGUGAAAUCUCUCGGCUUAACUGGGAGGGUGCGCCGGAAACUGGAGUGCUCGAACGUGGGAGAGGAAAGCGGAAUUCCUGGUGUAGCGGUGAAAUGCGUAGAUAUCAGGAGGAACACCUGCGGUGUAGACGGCUUUCUGGACCAUUGCUGACGCUGAGACACGAAAGCGUGGGUAGCAAACAGG